rnacentral:rRNA from 1 species
UGUGACUUAUCUCUUUGUUGCCUCGGCGCAAGCUACCCGGGACCUCGCGCCCCGGGCGGCCCGCCGGCGGACAAACCAAAACUCUUGUUAUCUUAGUUGAUUAUCUGAGUGUCUUAUUUAAUAAGUCAAAACUUUCAACAACGGAUCUCUUGGUUCUGGCAUCGAUGAAGAACGCAGCGAAAUGCGAUAAGUAAUGUGAAUUGCAGAAUUCAGUGAAUCAUCGAAUCUUUGAACGCACAUUGCGCCCAUUAGUAUUCUAGUGGGCAUGCCUGUUCGAGCGUCAUUUCAACCCCUAAGCACAGCUUAUUGUUGGGAACCUACGGCUUCGUAGUUCCUCAAAGACAUUGGCGGAGUGGCAGUGGUCCUCUGAGCGUAGUAAUCUUUUAUCUCGCUUCUGUUAGGUGCUGCCCCCCCGGCCGUAAAACCCCCAAUUUUUUCUGGUUGACCUCGGAUCAGGUAGGAAUACCCGCUGAACUUAAGCAUAUCAAUAA